CAGGGACAAAGGCUUAUGUCCGUCGCGGUUCAAGCCCUUACAUCUGCCAACGACUGGAGGCCAGUCGCUGAGGGGCCUCUACUGAGCUGGAGAAUGGCAGGACGGCAUGAGCCAGGAGGGAGCACAAGGAGCAGCGAGAGGGGACACGAGGGCGUCCCGGGAGAGUUCCGGAGGCCGGGGCACAGACCUGCCGCCGGGUGGGGGAGACUGGUUUUUCCGUGGUUUGGCUUGGAUAUUGGUGGAACCCUGGUCAAGCUGGUUUAUUUUGAACCCAAAGACAUCACUGCUGAAGAAGAAGAGGAAGAAGUGGAGAGUCUUAAAAGCAUUCGGAAGUACUUGACCUCCAAUGUGGCUUAUGGGUCCACUGGUAUUAGGGACGUGCACCUGGAGCUGAAGGACCUGACUCUGUGUGGACGCAAAGGCAAUCUGCACUUUAUACGCUUUCCCACUCAUGACAUGCCUGCUUUUAUUCAAAUGGGCAGAGAUAAAAACUUCUCGAGUCUCCACACUGUCUUUUGUGCCACUGGAGGUGGAGCAUACAAAUUUGAGCAGGAUUUUCUCACAAUAGGUGAUCUUCAGCUUUGCAAACUGGAUGAACUAGACUGCUUAAUCAAAGGAAUUUUAUAUAUUGACUCAGUUGGUUUCAAUGGACGGUCACAGUGCUAUUACUUUGAAAAUCCUGCUGAUUCUGAAAAAUGUCAGAAGUUACCAUUUGAGUUGAAAAACCCAUAUCCUCUGCUUCUGGUGAACAUUGGCUCAGGGGUUAGCAUUUUAGCAGUGUAUUCCAAAGAUAAUUACAAGAGGGUCACAGGAACAAGUCUUGGAGGAGGAACUUUUUUUGGUCUCUGCUGUCUUCUAACUGGCUGUACCACUUUUGAAGAAGCUCUUGAAAUGGCAUCUCGUGGAGAUAGCACCAAGGUGGAUAAACUAGUGCGAGACAUUUAUGGAGGAGAUUAUGAGAGGUUUGGAUUGCCAGGCUGGGCUGUAGCUUCGAGAACAUUAACCAGGUGGUAUUUGUUGGAAAUUUCUUGAGAAUUAAUACGAUCGCCAUGCGACUUUUGGCAUAUGCUUUGGAUUAUUGGUCCAAGGGACAGUUGAAAGCACUUUUUUCAGAACAUGAGGGUUAUUUUGGAGCUGUUGGAGCACUCCUGGAGCUGUUGAAGAUUCCCUGAUUGUUACCUGGGAGGGCGUCCUGGAAAUUUCGACAAUGGGAUCUUUGGACUUUUGUAUUUUAAAAGACUUACUCAGUUUUAUGAUCGUGUACUACCCGAAUCAAAGCGAGAAAUGAUGUGUAUUUUUCUAAGUCAUCAAGAUAAAUCCUUAAAAAAUUCAGUCUAAACUAGCAACCAGUAAGGAAAAAUGCAUUAAAAAACAAGUGGACCAUGUUCAGGCAGUGUGAGGAUUGCUGUGUUUAAGUUGCCUUUCAGGGUAGCGCUGUUUCACCUAUGGUGUUUUUGUAAAUCUCGGCAUAACUCACUGCAGACGCCUUGGAAGAGCUGUCCCGCGUUGAGCUGGCUGUGGUUGUGCAUCCUGUUUUGACUUGCUAUAUGCAAGAUAGGCUGCUGUGUGUGAUAAUCUAAUCACUGUUUUCUCAGUAUGGCCUUAGAGAUCACCUGUGCAUUACUCUGGUUUGCAUUUAGCCUGUGUGUGUACAUAUUGAAAAAUAGUUUAAGCUUCUAAAAACUUAA